UUUAAAAGUAUUAAUUUGAAUUCUAAAUAAAAUUCAAUUGAUAAAAAAUAAAAAAAUAAAAAAAUAAAAGACUAUUUGACGAGCUACGGUAAUUCUCUUGAAAUUAACAUUAAAAAUAAUAUUUCAAAAAUUCACUUUAAAGCACCAACCUUUUUACGAAACCUCCCCCUGUUUCUUUCAUUCUCUUUUUCUAACCCCACCGUCUCUUCUCACCAAUAUUUAAUUUAACCCACCUCUUCCAAACUAUCUCUAGCCCUAUUUAAUUUAACCCAAACUCUUCUUUGUGAAGCCACAAAACGCCCCAUGCAAUCUCAAAUCUAACCACCCGCUCUAAGAAGUCCUGGGUUGCCCUUGUUAGCACUUAGCACCAUCGAUGUUUAAUUUAACCCAAUCUUCUUUGGGUGGAGAACAAAAAAAUAUAUAUCUAGUUCCAAUUGUAACUGCCAGAUCUUUUUUCUAAGCAUCUCUGAUCUCAGUAACAUACUGGAUGACCUGUGUGUGAUGAUUUAGUGAGGGAUUUGAAGUCGAAGGCCCCUUCGUUUCUCCAUAUCAAGAAGAACCAGGUUCACCACUUCAAAAGGAUGCUCUGGGUUUACUAUUUCAGUUAUUGGAGAUUUUGAUAUUUUCUUUUGAUUUUUAUUUUCAUGAGAGCUUGACAAGUGCGUCCAAGAAGUUGCCUGGCCAACAUCUGUUGAUUUAUCACAAUAGCUUGUAUACUUCUAUGGCUAGCAGUUACAGAAGAGGGAAAAAAUAGGUCACUUAUUAUGCUUUGUCAAGGCCCUUUCUCCUCAAUCUCUGCAUAUGGGUGGUUGGGUGGGUUGCAAAUGGAUACCUUGUUGGAAAACAUUUUUAACGCGGUCUUUAUGACAUGUAAUGUAGAUUUUAAAUUAAAUUAUAAUUAAGGUUUAGAGUAUGUUGAACUCUAAAUAUUGGCCAAAGCACUGUUCAUGAUAGAUAUAGGUGUAAAAGUUAUAUUAUACAUAAAGAAUUUCUAAUCUAGUCAAAAUAGGAUAAUGAAAAAUCUGUUUUUUAUCCAUACAAAAUAACCCGAAGUUUUGGUAUAAAUUAGGAAACUUUUUAUUCUUGAGAUUUCUGUACAAUUGCUCAGGAUAGGAAAUAUAUAUCCUGUUCGUUUUUGGCUGCGUUUAUACGCUUUUCAUAUUGAAAUUAUCUUACAUGCCUCGCUCAUCAAUGCCAAAUGGUGAGACACUCUGUUCUUCAGAGGACCGCAACCUCUUUUUUUUUACCAAGCUUCUCUUGUUUUUUCCACUUUUCUUGCCUGAAUUCCUGAGUAGCCCUCGUUAAUUGACUUCUUUUAACAAUGCAACUAGAUAUUGACAACAACUAAA